rnacentral:rRNA from 1 species
UAGGGAAUCUUCCGCAAUGGGCGAAAGCCUGACGGAGCAACGCCGCGUGAGUGAUGAAGGUCUUCGGAUCGUAAAACUCUGUUAUUAGGGAAGAACAAAUGUGUAAGUAACUAUGCACGUCUUGACGGUACCUAAUCAGAAAGCCACGGCUAACUACGUGCCAGCAGCCGCGGUAAUACGUAGGUGGCAAGCGUUAUCCGGAAUUAUUGGGCGUAAAGCGCGCGUAGGCGGUUUUUUAAGUCUGAUGUGAAAGCCCACGGCUCAACCGUGGAGGGUCAUUGGAAACUGGAAAACUUGAGUGCAGAAGAGGAAAGUGGAAUUCCAUGUGUAGCGGUGAAAUGCGCAACGAUAUGGAGGAACACCAGUGGCGAAGGCGACUUUCUGGUCUGUAACUGACGCUGAUGUGCGAAAGCGUGGGGAUCAAACAGG